rnacentral:misc_RNA from 1 species
GGAAAAGGAUCCUAAAUCUGCAUCACUGGACACACUUAAUGCAAUACAGAAAAUAUCCUUUUCUCAGCUUUUUGCUCAUCAUGUGGAGGAUUAUCAAUCUCUUUUUCAUCGUGUCACUUUGCAACUGUCGAAAGAUUCCAACAGUGGAGGGAGAACAACUGUUCCUUUGAGUCAGAGCUAUGAUUCGAGUAUUCUCGGGACUAAUUGCAGUCUGAACAAUAUGGAAAAAGUGAAUACAUCGAAUCCUAGUUAUUCAGAUCAAUUAACGGAAGAAGUUCUAAUUUCUACAGCAGAAAGAGUGAAAUCUUU